rnacentral:sRNA from 1 species
AUUCUAUAAUAAAAUAAAUAAGAGAUACUUAAUAGAAUCCCUGGAGUCCAACAUUUCUGAUUUUAAUAUGCUUGUAACAUUUGCCUAACACACCACUGUGCUCUCUGAAAAGGGCGAUCAUUUUCACUGUAUGGUGUUACCUAGACUGCCUAUCCCCAGGGUCUUCCAAAAGUCCAUGUACAUUUGACAGCAUGGAAACGUGUACUGUUGUAGAGCAUAAAUUCUAGAGACUUAUUGAUGAAAGCCUAUUUCUGAUACGUAGCUUUUUAAAGACCACUCAAUAUACAUAAACUAAAUGUUAAGUGACAAAAAUAUUUUCAAAUUAUGUUUCCUACCAUUUAGGACCUCCUUAAAUUUAACAGCAGGUUAAAGGUUUGGGGUUGGCUUAUUUUUUAAGAAAAUAUACAUUUUGAUUGUUUUGAAAGUUUAUACAUUUAAGGUUUCUACCAAACAGGUAGAUAUAACCAUACUUUAAGCAAGAUUACAUUUUCCUUUUUCUAUUAAGAUUUAAAAUGUUCCAUUAAAUCUGAGUAGCUAGCCAAAACUGAGCUUUCCAGGAGACUUUCUAUACCAGUCUUGCUGGGAGAUAAUUGUUGCUAAUCUAAGUCCAAGGGAUAGUGGGAUGUUUUUCAACACUGGCAAUAAAAACAAAAUAACUCUUUCAAAGAGGGAGAAGCAAGAUUUGGAUUCUAAGAAUUUUCCUUGUGAAAGAAAACUUCGUUUAUAUCUAAUUGGUUGAUUUCACUACUGUAGCAAAGAUACAAGAAAAAAAACUGGGAAAGAUUUUUAAAAACUAGAAAAUUAACAGUCUAUUUCAUGUCAUUUGGGGAAAAAUUAAAUGACAUUAUGUUUGUGAAAAUGUUUUGUGAAUUGCAAAGUUAUAUUAAAAUUAAUUGUUAUA